GGGAUUUCCUGGGCUGUCCCCGCGAUUGCAGAAGUGGGCAUGUGGCAACCCAGGCUGAGUGUGAAACUGAUGUGUAGGAGAAGCUGGAAGGUGCCCGCAGCCCAGCUCUCCUGGGGUUUUACACAUGAGGAACUCUCUUCUCUGAAAAUGUCACUGUGAACACACUUGCUCAUUUUCCUUGAAAUUUCUGAGAAAUUCCUCAGCCUACUGAAGUCCUGAUGAUGGUUACGCAGUUGUUUUGCUGAGCUACUGCCUGAGAAGCAUGACUGAGCAGUACCUGCAGGAUGGGCAGCCGCUGACAACAACAACAUCUCGUGGGAGGGAACAAUAACUUGGAAAGGGCCAUAAGUUUUCUCAGGGGCCUUGCUAAUCCCUGCGAUGUCAGUGAAUGAAGAGAGUCAUCAUCCCUUUAACAACCUUAAUAACAAUUUGUGCCUUGUCAUGGUGACUUUCAGUAUUUAAUAAGGCAGGGCAUUAUUUGAGAUUACAGCCUUAGUCAAAAUGCAAUUGCUCCCACCAGCACAUUCUCUUCUUCGGAUCACUCAUUAAUGAAUAUUUAUUUUGUGAUUUACCUUCUGGAAAUAAUUCCAUUCAUGUUCACUUUUUUCAUUAUCAGUAAAGCAUAACUCWUUAAUGCUGUUAUUCAGAACGCACAACUGAGAUAUCGAGUGAUCUAGUCACUCGCUCCAAGCUGUGGCAUGGGUCAGUGACUCACUGGAAUGGCAGUUCUAACGGCAGGCAGUUUUUGUUUAGAUUUCAUUCCAGGAAAACCAAAGUAAGUAGUACAGGCUGGGAGAAAAGCUUCAAAACGAAUGAACUGGAACAAUCACUCCUAAACCAAUGCUAUUCAGAAUUUGGUUGAGUCUUAUGUUGAAUGACAAACAGUGAAUGCUGGAUCCUCUUUUCAUGUUCAAAAACAAAGUGAUAACCAGUAAAUGCAGAAGUCUGGGAAUGAAAAGGGCUAAAUUUUCAAGUGAUUGAAGCCUAAUUAGAAUAGGAGAAGGAAGUUCAGCCCCCAUGUGAUGUUCCUUCCCAUAUAGUCUUUGUCUUAAUGAAU
rnacentral:lncRNA from 1 species